rnacentral:hammerhead_ribozyme from 1 species
AUCCAGAUGACGAGUCCCAGGUAAGACGAAAGGCACGUCCUGGAU